UAGCUAGUUGGUGAGGUAAAGGCUUACCAAGGCGACGAUCUGUAGCGGGUCUGAGAGGAUGAUCCGCCACACUGGAACUGAGACACGGUCCAGACUCCUACGGGAGGCAGCUGUGGGGAAUUUUGGACAAUGGGGGCAACCCUGAUCCAGCCAUGCCGCGUGAGUGAAGAAGGCCUUCGGGUUGUAAAGCUCUUUUCGGCCGGGAAGAAAUCGCAUGGGCCAAUACCCUGUGUGGAUGGCGGUACCGGAAUAAGAAGCACCGGCUAACUACGUGCCAGCAGCCGCGGUAAUACGUAGGGUGCGAGCGUUAAUCGGAAUUACUGGGCGUAAAGCGUGCGCAGGCGGUUUUGUAAGACAGGCGUGAAAUCCCCGGGCUUAACCUGGGAACUGCGUUUGUGACUGCAAGGCUAGAGUACGGCAGAGGGGGGUGGAAUUCCACGUGUAGCAGUGAAAUGCGUAGAGAUGUGGAGGAACACCAAUGGCGAAGGCAGCCCCCUGGGUCGAUACUGACGCUCAUGCACGAAAGCGUGGGUAGCAAACAGGAUUAGAUACCCUGGUAGUCCACGCCCUAAACUAUGUCAACUAGGUGUUGGGUGGGUAAAACCAUUUAGUACCGUAGCUAACGCGUGAAGUUGACCGCCUGGGGAGUACGGCCGCAAGGUUAAAACUCAAAGGAAUUGACGGGGACCCGCACAAGCGGUGGAUGAUGAGGAUUAGUUCGAUGCAACGCGAAAAACCUUACCUACCCUUGACAUGCCAGGAACUUGCCAGAGAUGGCUUGGUGCCCGAAAGGGAGCCUGGACACAGGUGCUGCAUGGCUGUCGUCAGCUCGUGUCGUGAGAUGUUGGGUUAAGUCCCGCAACGAGCGCAACCCUUGUCGUUAAUUGCCAUCAUUUAGUUGGGCACUUUAACGAGACUGCCGGUGACAAACCGGAGGAAGGUGGGGAUGACGUCAAGUCCUCAUGGCCCUUAUGGGUAGGGCUUCACACGUCAUACAAUGGUCGGUACAAAGGGUUGCCAAGCCGCGAGGCGGAGCCAAUCCCAGAAAGCCGAUCGUAGUCCGGAUUGCAGGCUGCAACUCGCCUGCAUGAAGUCGGAAUCGCUAGUAAUCGUGGAUCAGCACGUCACGGUGAAUACGUUCCCGGGUCUUGUACACACCGCCCGUCACACCAUGGGAGCGGGUUCCGCCAGAAGUAGGUAGCCUAACCGCAAGGGGGGCGCUUACCACGGCGGGGUUCGUGACUGGGGUGAAGUCGUAACAAGGUAGCCGUAGGGGAACCUGCGGCUG
rnacentral:rRNA from 1 species